rnacentral:rRNA from 1 species
GUGGGGAAUAUUGGACAAUGGGCGAAAGCCUGAUCCAGCCAUGCCGCGUGUGUGAAGAAGGUCUUCGGAUUGUAAAGCACUUUAAGUUGGGAGGAAGGGCAGUAAGUUAAUACCUUGCUGUUUUGACGUUACCGACAGAAUAAGCACCGGCUAACUUCGUGCCAGCAGCCGCGGUAAUACGAAGGGUGCAAGCGUUAAUCGGAAUUACUGGGCGUAAAGCGCGAGUAGGUGGUUUUGUAAGUUGGAGGUGAAAUCCCCGGGCUCAACCUGGGAACUGCCUCCAAAACUGCAUGACUAGAGUACGGUAGAGGGUAGUGGAAUUUCCUGUGUAGCGGUGAAAUGCGUAGAUAUAGGAAGGAACACCAGUGGCGAAGGCGACUACCUGGACUGAUACUGACACUGAGGUGCGAAAGCGUGGGGAGCAAACAGGAUUAGAAACCCGAGUAGUCC